rnacentral:lncRNA from 1 species
CAUUUACAGCUGAUUAAAUAGCAAGUAAAAUGUACUUGUGGUCAUUGCCGUAUAACAUUAGGCACACGCUUCUAACACUUCUAUAAUAUCUAGAUUUUAUUUACCUCAUUUUAACUUGCAAUGUCUGUCUAUCUCAUGAACUCUCCAUAAAUCCAAGAACUGCCUGUAGUUUUCAAAAUGACAUGUGGGUUUUUACUGUUAUCAUUGUUAUUUCGAUAGGGCUUUUUCCUGAUUUUGGGUAUACAAGUUCCAAACUUGCAUAAUAAUUGCUAACGCACUAGGCGAUAUCUAGGGCCAGUCUGUUAAAGGGGACCUCUAAUGUAGCUAUAAGACAGGUUGGUAAAGAUGAACUAACAUAAGUUUAAGCUAAUAAUUCAGUAGUUGAUGCAGUAUUUCACAGUAGAGCCCGAGCUUACUCAUUUUUUUCAAAAUUUGGAUCCUGAUACUCCUUUUUCAGAGUUCAGAACUGAACUGCUCCCCUAAGACCUCAGAAUCUUUUGCAUUGAGACAUAUGAUCUAUUUAUAAAUAAAGGUUAUCAAAUAUCUUGUUGAACUAAUUAGGUUGAUCAAAUUAGGAUCCCAAAUAUUGGGGUCCCUGACAUCUGAGCCUUUAUCUAAAAAUGUUUCUGUAACAUAAUGACAGCCUUUAUGUUUGUUAAUUGCCUAUAGUAAAGAAGCAAUUUUAAGCCUAUUCUCAUUUCCCUCUCCCCUACAAAAAAUGAUAAAAGCUUUCCAAUUACUUACAUAUGCUCUAACAAGUGUCUCAGGAUUCAUUAACAGAAUUUUAUAGAGUACAGUAAUUCAAAUAUAGCACAGUACAGAGUUUACCAAAAACACAUAAAACUUUGCUAGAUAGACAGUGAGGUGGAAAGGAACUAAAAUGUAUCUCUCUUGAAUAGCAUUUGGGGUUCAAUUGAAUUUGUUGUGUUUACAACAGCAAAGCACCGUUAGCCUGGACAGUUGCUUAUGGCAUCGAUAGGGUUGGAUAAUAUUCUGGGAUUUGUUGCAGCAGAAUUCCUCUAUCUGAUGAUCAGCAGUUGAACAUAAACUUCAUAAUUAUAGUAAAAUUUAGGAAAAACUAUGAGUGUGAAGAGUAUGAACUGAUUGGGUAGAUUAGGCAGAGUGCAUUAUGGGCAAGACAAAGGUUUUCGAUAUUAACUUCUUUUAAAAUAAACUUUUUAUUUUCAAACAGUUUCAGUUUUACAGAAAAAAUGUGAAGCUAGUACAGAGAGGUCUCAUUUACCCCACACCCAGUUUCUCCUGUUAUUAGCAUCUCACAUUAAUAUGUGGUAUAUUUGUUACAAUUAAUAAAACACAUUGAUAUGUUAAUAUUAUUAACUGAAGUCCAUACUUUAUUCAGGUUUCUUUAGUUUUUACCUAAGAUCCUUUUUAAAGAAUUGUUUCGGCCAGGCACUGUGGCUCACACCUGUAAUCCCAGCACUUUGGGAGGCCAAGACGGGCGGAUCACGAAGUCAGGAGUUCGAGACCAACCUGGACAACAUGGUGAAACCACGUCUCUAUUAAAAAUACAAAAAAUUAGCCAGGCGUAGUGGUGGGUGCCUGUAAUCCCAGCAAUACUUGAGAGGCUGAGGCAAGAGAAUUGCUUGAACCUGGGAGGCGGAGGUUGCAGUGAGCUGAGAUCAUGCCACUUCACUCCAGCCUGGGUGACAGAGCGACACACUUGAUCUCAAAAAAAAAAAAAUUGUUUCAGCAUCUUGUUCAGGAUUCCACAUUACAUCUAAUAGUCAUAUCUCCUUAGGAUCCUUUUGAUUGUGACAGUUUCUCAGACUUUCCUUGUUUUCAGUGACCUUGACACUUUUGAGAGAGAUUUUCCUCAACUGGGAUUUGUCAGUUGUCUUUCUCAUGAUUAGACUGAGGUUAUGAGUUUUUGAAAGUAGGACCACGGAGAAGAAGUGCCAUUUUCAUCACAUCAUACAGGCAUACUUUGGAGACAAUGCAGAUUUGGUUCCAGAUCACUGCAAUGAAGCAAAUAUUACAAUAAAGCAAGUCACACAAAUUUUUUGGUUUCCCAGUGCAUAUAAAAUUUUAUGUUUACACUAUCCUGUAGUCUGGUAAAUGUGCAAUAGCAUUAUGUCUAAAAAACAAUGUACAUACCUUAUUUUAAAAUACUUUAUUGCUAACAUGUUACUGGCACAAACACGAAGUGAGCACAUGCUGUUGGAAAAAUGGUGCCAAUAGACUUGUUGGUCACAGGGUUGCCACAAACUUUUAAUUUGUAAAAAAUGCAAUAUCAGCAAAGUGCAAUAAAGUGAAGCACAAU